rnacentral:misc_RNA from 1 species
GAAAUGCGAUACUUGGUGUGAAUUGCAGAAUUCAGUGAAUCAUCAAAUCUUUGAACGCAAAUUGCGCUCUCGGGAUAGGCCUGGGAGCACGCCUCUUUGAGUAUCGAUUCCAACACAACUCGCAAGCGCGCUUGUUGAAAAACGAGUGCUGCCUGCGGAAACUGAGCAAUCUCGUUCACUCGAGAUGCUUGAAAUACAGCGAGUGGCAUGAGUUGCUGAUCGGCAGCGGACUCUGUCUCUGGUGACGAGGAUAACUUCACAUUCAUUUGUGAACCCUUCCAUCGUGACUAUUGAGGCAAGGAACGCAGUCAGUCACAGCUCGAUGUGUCACGGCCCUCUCGGAUAGGUUUCGCGCAAGCGAAGCUUGGUCUGAGAACCAUUUUGAACUAGAUCUCAAAUG